ACUUGUAAAUUUUCGGUCCGGUUCCGGGUCGGAUAUUUUUGGGUCGGUUCCGGUUCGGGUCUUCGGGUCCAGGUUAAAAUGCUCAGGCCUACCUCAAAAUUUAGCUUCCAAAUUAAAAAUAGCUUAUUUGAAAAUACGCAUAAAGCUUAUAUUAUAUAAAAUAUCUCUAAAAUUAGUAGUACUAAAAAAAUAAAAAAAAUCAACACAAUAACAGCACAAUAUUCUCUCUCUAACGGAUGACACAUCAAAUUUUUAGAAACCUGUGAGACUACCCAGUCAUAAAUGAAAAAAUUGUGAAAAACCAAUCAAGUCAUUUUAUUCAUACACCGCAUGAAAUUAUAAUCCACCUGUUUCUUUCUUUUGUCAAACAGAAAUUUGUUUAACAAUCACGACGCCAAAGCGUUAUCUUCUUUUCAUGCACAUCUUUUGAUUUUAUUAUCCAUGGUUCAACCGCUACAGCUAACAGUGACCUAAUUUCUUUGUCCCAGAUCCGGUGCUCCGUGAUUAUAUUCGCAGUCAUGGCAGUGGCACAAGCUUUGAUCCGCGUUUAUCUUCUUUUCAUCCUUGCCGUGAAUCCACUUCAUCGUGGCCGAUAUCUUCAUCGCGGCUCGUCAACAUCGGCUUCUCCAUCUCUGGAUCGUGUUCUCAGCUCCAAGCCGAGGUCUCCAUUACACCGGAACAGGUUCGUCAUCGUCGUCAAGCCCAUAUUCCAGAGAAGAGUCAAUCAACCACAAUGGCUGGUUUUUUCAUAUUUGCAUUUUUCAGUCCUCCAAAUACCUGAUUAUGUUUAUUGCACGAUGGUCCCUCUUCUUUUGUUUAUUUUCUAAUCGGACACAAACGUUUGAAUUUGCAGAAAUGACCUCUUAAAUUAACCUUAAACUUCCAAAAAUACAAUCUAGCCCUUGAUUUUUGCAAAUGCAAUAUUAACACCUAAAUACAACCUAAAAUGCUGAAAAAGCUUAAAAAGUCUAAAUAUCAUAAAAAUGAUGAGAUAUCAAGAAUCAAAAUAAAUCUCUAAAGAACUAUGAUGGUUCUUAAGAUCAUAUCAAUGACUCUUUUUUAUUCUCCGCUCCUCUCUCAUCGUUGUAGAUCCUAAAAUCUACACUAAGAAUUUGAUAGUGAUCGGGAGUUUAAUCAGGUGAAGAUAAAUAAUGUAGGCAACAAUAUCUUUAACAUAACGAUAUAAUCAGUUUCCGAUAAGGAAAAAUGAACUUGUAUUGAUGAAGGAGAUCAAAUACAAUGAGUAAAAUAAGAUCGAAUGUUACAACGAGAUCGCUAAGAGAAAAGAUCUAAAGAUUGAUGAAAACAAGGUCGAAGUGUGGGUGUAGCUCUUUCUAGGCUUUUCAAUGUGUCCUUCUUCAUGUUCAUUCCUCUUUCUUUAUAGUGGGUCGACACCGUGAUCUUCGUAACGUCUCCGCGAUCUCUGGGCCCUCGAAAUCUCCGUCUCGAACUCGUAUACUCGCUAUGGGCUUCGGCUCUUUACGGCUCACAUCCUCGAUCGUGGCCCAUUAUCAUAUUGACCGAAAUUGGAUCCAAUCGUUGUUGUUUUGUUUCCUAUCUUCUUCUUCUUCAAUUAUAUGAUAUCCAACUCAUAUAUGCCGAUUAUAUAUGAUAUUUUUCAAAACAUCAUUAAUGUCAAGAUCUCUUAAAUAUGAUUUUAUCGAUAAAUAUGAGGUUUCUUAAACGAACUCGAUCAUGGGAAGUAAAUGAAUUUUCUUCCAAAAGAGUUUUCAGCCAAUUUGAUAGUGCUCAUGCCUUUCUUAUAGGCUUUAAGCGCAGAAAUAAAGGUUUGAAAUGGAAAUAAAAGAUAUAAUAUGAUCGCAAAGGACUUUCAAAUGCUUAAUAAAUUUAUCUUUUUUUAUAGACAACAAUUAUAAAUAUAAAAUAGAAUAUUGGCUAAAUACAUGAAAAUUAUUUAUCUAAUAUAUACAUAAAUACACUAUUAUGUAAAAAUCUAUAUACUCCAAAUUUGUUUAUAUAUAUGUUAUUUUGAAGAACAUUAUAAGCUGAAGUCUUAGUGCAGAAGAUAAUAAGCCUUACGAGGAGAAGUAACAUCUUGAGAAGGAAGCUUACUUCCAGGUCAUUGCUAAGGAAAAACAUGAGAGAGAGAGAGAGAGAGAGAGAGAGGCCAUGAAGCUUCUGGACGAUGAGCAUAAGCUGAAAAUUGCAAUGGGUUUACUUGAUUAGUAUCUCCAGCUUGUGUAGGAAGCUAAACAAGACAAUAAGAAGAAGAGCAAGUAAAACUACAGAUUACCUUCAGAAGACAAAAUCAAGAGAUUAUUAAUGGUUAAACUUACUAGAGCUAUUGUUGGUUUGCAGGAAGCAUAAGGAUCCUCUGAAGCCAAAGCAUCCUAUACUUGCCUUCUUGGUUUAUGUUAACGAGAGGAGAGCUGCUUUCCGUGAAGAGAAUAAGAAUGUACUGGAGGUAAAUUUAAGUACUUUAAUUCAUUCUCAGGAUCCACUUAAAAAAAAAAAUGUUGAUCAUAAAGAAGAUUGAUUAAUAGGUCACAAAGAUGACGGGAGAACUGGAAGAAGUUGUUAGACGAACAAAAAACACCAUAUGAAGAGGUUUAUUUUUUUAUUGUAUAUAUGCUUGCAUCGACAGCUAUUUAAAAACUUAAGAGUGAAUGAACUGGGGUAUUUUAACAGAUGGCAAAGAAGAACAAGAA